UUUCAAAAGUAUGAGCAGACGUAAAGCUGUAUUUCAGCAAGAAGGAUCCUUAGGGUCUGAGAGAGAGAUUGAGCCAAGGCUGGGAUGGAGGAAUCCAGUUCACUGUCACAUCUUUUAGAACCAAUAACUCCUAUGGUCAGCUGAAGGCUUCUGACUAUUUGUUUCAUCCUGCUACAUGAACUAGGCCUAGGUCUUCAAAUUGUUCUCUACAUCUUGAAACUGUCAGCAAACUUUUAAACCACACCUUGACUCAAAUUUGUUUCAGUAUUGUGAAAGGCCUGGUAAAAUUCCAGUGACUGAAUUUAGUCUUUACAGUAUUUUGACCCACCUAACGCAGCAGGACACAACUACACCAAUGGGACUUGAGAGGGAUCUAUUCGGAGUGAAAAGGCCAUGCAGAGAGGGAUUCUUAAUCUUUUCCUUGCUUUUUACUACUUCAUUCCAAAUUGCCCUCAUACAUUGCUUCUCUCCCUUUGAAGUUUCAAAUGUGUUUGACCUAGAACACUGGUUCCUAAACUCCCCUCCAACAGACCACUUGAAAUUUGCUAGGGGUCUUAGCGGACGACUCAAUAAUUUAUCUGUCUGUUGCAGGAAUUAUUAUGCACUGUGAUAGAUGGUGCAUGAUUAUAAUUGCAUUUUUACAGACACAGAUUUGAAACCCUUACCUAGAAGAUGUGGAGCUCUAAAGUGUUUGGUGGAGGAACGUUAAGAAUCCUUUCCCCCCCACUAUUUCUCUGGUCCUAAUUGCUCCUUCCUAAAGCUGGUUCGCUGUUCUAGAAUAGCUUCUAUUGUGCUUUAGCUAGGCCUUUAGUAAUAGAGCAUGGAAUUGCCUUUUAAUGAAUUAAGGUCUGCUCUUUGGUUUAAAUGCACUGUGUCUGAAAAUUCAAAGCCACCUCUCUAUUUCUGGGAAUUGUCUUCUACCAAAUAAAUUUGACAAGAUAAGACCUCUUGGUAUCUUUAGGGAACAAACAAAUUGAACAAGUAAUUAUUUACACAAGGUUUUUCUGAUGAAGUUUGGACAUUUAAGCUUGCUGGAUGGAUCUCCACUGAGAGAGACUCCUGUCUGAAACAUUUCCUGCCCAAACACUUCCCUCCUGACAGGAAGUAAACAUUAAAAAUAAUCUUUAAUCCCUUGUCUGAUCUACUACCAUUAACAAUUGAUGGCCUUUAAUUUUGUGGGAUUUUAACUACAAAAUGGAAUGGCUAAGUAGUGAUAAUUGGGUAUGGAAUUACACGGUCAUUUAUAUCCACCGAAAUGCAAGAGGCUGGAAGGGUGACAUUAAUUAUUUAACAUUUCCUGGCUGUGGUUCCCAUUAUAGAAUUUACUGAUAUGUUCUGUUGCAAACAAUUAUCACCAGAUGAGAGUAAACAAACUGGUGAUCUGACUCCUUAUUUAUAAAUGUGCACUUUAUUUAGAGAGUGUUGACUCAAUUUGCAUUUGCAUGUUUGAAGCACUAUUGCAGUCAGAUUAUUUUCAAGUUCUUGUCACCAUAUAUUGCUUCUGCUGAUCCAUUUUCAAAAUGUAUAAUUUCCUCAUCAAACCCCUUCAAAAUUGUGACAUUACUCAAGCAAAAAGGGAGACAUAUAAUAAGCCUUAAACUUAAUCUUAUCUAUUUGUUUUCCAUGCUCCCUUCCUCUUAUCUUCUCCCACCUUUAUAAUAACCAAUAACAUUAUAAAGUCUCAAUUGUGUUCUACAUUAUAAUAUUAUAAGAAACAUCUCCAGAUCUGCAGCUUUGGUGCAGUCGUUCCUUCUAUAUAAAAAACGAAUGAUUCCAUACUUUUUUGUUGUUUAGUCGUUUAGUCGUGUCCGACUCUUCGUGACCCCAUGGACCAGAGCACGCCAGGCCCACCUGUCUUCCACUGCCUCCCGCAGUUUGGUCAGACUCAUGUUUGUAGCUUCGAGAACACUGUCCAACCAUCUCGUCCUCUGUCGUCCCCUUCUCCUUGUGCCCUCCAUCUUUCCCAACAUUGGGGUCUUUUCCAGGGAGUCCUCUCUUCUCAUGAGGUGGCCAAAGUAUUAGAGCCUCAGCUUCACGAUCUGUCCUUCCAGUGAGCACUCAGGGCUGAUUUCCUUAAGAAUGGAUGUGUUUGAUCUUCUUGCAGUCCAUGGGACUCUCAAGAGUCUCCUCCAGCACCAUAAUUCAAAAGCAUCAAUUCUUCGGCGAUCAGCCUUCUUUAUGAUCCAGCUCUCACUUCCAUACAUCACUACUGGGAAAACCAUGGCUUUAACUAUACGGACCUUUGUUGGCAAGGUGAUGUCUCCGCUUUUUAAGAUGCUGUCUAGGUUUGCCAUCGCCUUUCUCCCAAGGAGCAGGCAUCUUUUAGGCGUCUUGGGAGACCUCAAAAUACUGCUGUACCAAAGUUUUUAGACCUAACAAUUUUCAUACAUUUUGGGUAGAAGUGUGAUCAAAUCAUAACAUUGCUAAGGAUUGGGGAGGAGGGGUUUCUUAGAACUUUAAGGGAGGGGUCUUAACCCCACCCCACCCCACAAAUAGCAGUGUCUCUGCUACUUGAUACCAGUAGCUUGAUGGCACUGAGCAGCCUAGUCAUAUUGCUGGUACAGAAUGCCUGGAUCUUAACAACACUGUGUCAUAAUACAUAAUUGUGGAGUGAAAUUGGCCAACAGGAGGAGCAAUCUCCUACCCCAUGACCCUGCUGGUGACAUAUAUAAUGAUGUAGUAGUAUAUGCAGGUCCUGUUUUAUGAACAUUUGCUAUGCAAAAAAUAACUUUUCUGAACACGAUGAAUUAGUAUCCAAACUUCACUAUACGCUCUGCAGAUUCAGAUAUCCAAACAAAGAGAAUUUUGUUUUUUUUGUUUUUCUUUGGGGGGUGUCAAAAUUAUGUGGUAGGGAACACAUUAGAAAUUUUCCCAUUAGAAUCAAUAGAAAUUGUCAGCUCACCAUGUGAACGCUUGCCUAGCGAAUGAUUUCCAGGGAAUGUACAGUGGUUUAAGAACAGUCCUAAGAACGAUUCAGUUUGCGAACUCUGCAAAACUGGAAAUAGUGUCCUGGUGUGCAAACUUUACCUCAGUCUAAGAACGGAAUCCAAACAGUGGAAGGACACCGGUGGUGGGAGAUCUCAUUAGGGAAAGUGUGCCUCGGUUUAAGAACAGUUUCAGUUUAAGAACGGACUUCCAGAAACAGAUUAAGUUUGUAAACCGAGGUACCACUGUAUUGUGUUUAGUAAGUGGGACUUCCGUGUAUCAUACUUCUUGGAACAUUUUUCUUCCAGGAAUGCCACUGUUCAGCAUUAAGCCAUUUUCUGAAGUGUCCACAAAGCUUCUUAAGAAAGAAAGACAGACCAUGGAUCACUUUGUCUUUGAAGUAGAAAUGGAGAACCUCUGGCCCUGUUGAACUACAUUUUUCUCCCGAGGCAAACAAAUGCCAACAAUAUUUCCCAUAAUUGCUCGCCAUUGUCCAUGGUGACCAGGAUGAGGACUCCAAUAAUACCUUGUUGGCCAUAGAUUCCCAGCCCUUGAUACAAAGCAAAGACCAUACACACUCUCAAAGCUAUAUUGGAAUUUACACCUUAAAAUUACCAAACAUACAUUACACACACACUUUUGCAGGGGUGGUACAUGAAAAUGUGUGUUUAGUCAUUGUUCAGUUUGAAGUUUCUUUAACUUAACUGAAUAACAGGUUGAAGUCAGUGCUAUUUCAAAGUUUGAACUCAUGUACAAUUCAAGAGAAGUAUUAAUAUUUUUAGUACAUUGUAAGAACUGCCUAUUUGACCAAGUAUUACAUUAGUGCAAGUGGUGGGCAGAAAAGGGACUAUGGUCCACUGAUGGACUACUAGUGAAUUUCCAGUGGACCAUCUGGCAUCCACUGGUUACUGGGACUCUCACAAAACAUACUGAACUAAAAUGUGACUGGUCUUAUAAGAAUUUGUAAUUCAGGAGUGCAUGCUAUAGAUCCAGAUUACUGUGAGUAUGCAUUUAUUGUACUGCAAAUGUAAAACACAUUGGUGGACCACAGGGAAUUUAGUGGCAGGUUGCUGUUGUUGUUUUUACAUAGACUGCAAAAUUGAAGUUAGUCUACAAACCUAUUAGUGCUUCAUACUUUUAAAGCAACACAGUUCCAUUCAUCAUAGAUGUGUUCCAUCAUCACAUGUACUUAUAUAUGUAUACAUAAAAACCUGGAAUCAAGUAACUUUAUUGUGAGCACUCAUAAAUGGCAGAGCUGUUAUUUAUUAUUUCUCUCCGUCCUUGGUGCUUUUAUUGCAUUUUUUUAAAUACAGCUGUCAGCAGGAAAAAAUAUAGCCUUAAACAAUACUCUGAAAACUACGUGUUAUAUGUAGUUAUAUGCCUGCUCUGAUGUCUUUCUGCAUAAGCAGAUUUUUGUUUUCUUUUUUUUAUUCAAAAAAGUUUUGAUUUCCUUAAAUUAGAUCUCAGAUGCAGAGUUGAAAACAGUGUUGAAAAUUGGCUAGGAUGGGAUGUAACAACAUCUCUACUAGACAAAGUUGUCCAAUUAAGCAGAAUGUCAAAAGUUUUUAACAUUUGAAUUUCUGCAAGGGGCUACUAAUUUCAACCUUAAUGAUUUCUCCUUUAGGACUCUACAUAGCAAAACUUCACUUAUUAUCUUACAAUACCCAUCAGUCUGAGCUAAAGAGCAGCCUAGGGCAACUGAGUGAGUGAAGAUAGCUUUCAUCCCUUGAAAAAAAAUCUUAUAAUCCCUUUUGAAAACAAGAGGAAGGAGGAUGGAAAUCUCUUGAUCUCAACUGCUUUCUAGAUCCUCCCUGUUGACAAACAGAGAAAAAUUCACCUGUCAAGUUUUCCUCACAAUAAAUAGAUAGUAACCUUUUUCAUCUUCUUAGAAGGUGUGAGUUAACCAAGGAUAUAUAAAGAGUCUAUGAUAUACAUAGACAUGAACAGAAGUACUGAAUGUAGGAUGACCUGAGAUUGGGGAUGAAUUUGCAGGUGGCAAUUCAGAAUAGCCAUUGCAGCAGUCACAGUUUGAACCCCACCAUAGUUUCAUGGGGAGAGGGUCUUACAAUUGCAGUGGGAGGCUUCUUAAUUUUCUCUCCCCUUUUUAAAAUCACUUUUCAUGCCAUUGGGGUUCGCCAGUCACUUCUGGGACCCGAAAGAACUAGUGGCACUCUGGCUGCUGCCCUUAUACUUCCUUCCCUACCUCUGGGAAGGAACAAUGGUGGCAGUGACUAUAGUUCUGUUGUUGCAUUUUUUUAAAGCUUCAUUCUUUUUAAAAGAGAAAAAGGGGUAAAGAGCACAGUGAAGCAGAUCAGCCCAUGCAGUUUUCUUAAAAUGUCAAAGUUAAGCACCCCCCCCCAAAAAAAAUAUUCUCAAAAAUCCCCCCUAUGGAUUUUUAGAAGCUUUUUCCCCCUGCCCCUACCUUUCUGUGAAUAGUUUAAGGUAAUUUAGUCAAAAUAAUGGUUUGUCUGUAGUUUUUCUUUUAUAAAAAACAACAACUGAUGCCCCAAUGAGGACCUAAGACUCUCAUUUUGUUCUUAGGGGCCAGGAUCCAAAGAGUAUUGCAACCAGUUCCAGGGCUAAAGACGCCUUUGACUCAGGCAUCAGCCACAGUCCUCUUUGCCACCUGGCAAAUUGCCUUUGAAACAGUAAUAUGGCAAAGGGGUCUGCUUUUUAGUAAAAGUCAGAUCUCUCACUGGGAGCAUACACGCCCCUGGAGCAUGCUUAAAGUACUUCUUUGGAUGCCAGCCAAAGUUUUCACUGUGAAUUGUGUAGGAAAUCCUAAUUCUGUGAACCAUCUCCGUUAUAAAUUCCUUUCACAUACCCUUUGCUCAAUAAAAUGCAUUGUUAAGCAGAGAUUAUUUUGGUAAUAUGCAGAUAUGCACUUAUUUCAUCUGUGCAGAGCAUUCUGCUGGAUUUUUUUCAAGGGAACUUGUAAAUUCCUUAAAUAAUAUCAUUGGAAGUAAUACAAAUAUUUUUAAUGAUCAUUGAGUAAGUUAUUGGAAACAUACACAACUGUGUAAAUAACUGAACCUAAAUAAAUGAG